CUGUGCCAGCUGUGUGUGUGAGUGUGUGUCAGUGCCUAACAACGCCAAGGGCUUCCAGAGAAGAGGAACUGAACUGUGGAGUCCAUCCUCCUGACCUGACGAAGGCCGCCUCCUCAUACCUGUGGCCCCACAUCUCUGGGAUCCUCAGAGUCCACCGUCUUAUGCGGCCGCUGCUGUCCUCUCCUCCUCCUCUGGCUGAGACCACCCUUCACCCACCCUCAGCUGCCCUUCAUGCCCAGGGAGCAGGCAGGGUUCCACCAUCACUCCUAGUCCUGCCUGCGUACGGUUGAGCGUUUGGGCGCACAAUGGCGACCAAGCUGCGCAUCGGGUUCUAUAUCCUGGCGGCAAGCUGCCUGCCCUUCCUCUACAUCCUGUGUGUGAGCCUUGAGAUUUGGACGUCUGGCAGGCAAGUCGGGCUCAACUACUCACACACACACGCACACGCACGCUCACACACACACACACACACACACAGGACCAUUGUAGGCAGCAGUAGCUCAGGAGGUAGAGCGGGUUGGCUGGUAACCUCAAGGUUGCUAGUUCGAUCCCCGGCUCCUUCUAGCUGAGUGUCAAGGUGUGACUGAGCAAGUCACCUCACCCUAACUGCUCCCGACGUCGUCAGUGUGGAAAUGUCUGCAUGCAGGGGUGGACUGGCCAUCUGGCAUACCGGGCAUCGUCCCGGUGGGCCGUUGACCCAAUGUGGGCCGAUCCGGUCCGCUAUGUUUUGAUAUCUCUAAAUUCCCUCCAAUUGGGCCGGCCAAUGGGCUACAG